UUUCCACCGCCGCUGCUCCUCACGUUUUCUCCCGGAGAGAUGAGGCGGAAAGAGAAGAGGCUGCUGCAGUUCGCAGGGCUGCUCAUAGCGGCUCUUCUCUUCCUCCCUAACGUCGGACUGUGGUCUUUGUACCGGGACCGAGUCUUCGACAACUCGCCAGGCACGGUGGACGCUCCGUGGGGCAUCCUCUCCAUGCAGGGGUUGAACCAGGUGAGGAGAGUAGCUCAGGUGGGAGUAGAUGGAGUGCGGCGGGUAGACUGGCACGACUACGAGGCGAUGAGGAGAGACGCCGCUCGAUCAGGUAACGGUGAGCAGGGGAAGCCGUUCCCUCUGACAGAGACGGACCGGGUGGACCAGGCCUACAGGGAGAACGGGUUCAACAUCUACAUCAGCGACCGCAUCUCUCUGAACCGCUCCCUCCCUGACAUCCGGCAUUCAAACUGUAAACAGAAGCUGUAUGCAGAGAAGCUGCCCAACACCAGCAUCAUCAUCCCGUUCCACAACGAGGGCUGGUCGUCUCUGCUGAGGACGGUUCACAGCGUGCUCAACCGCACUCCUCCACAGCUCAUCGCAGAGGUCAUCCUGGUCGACGACUUCAGUGACAAAGAGCACCUAAAGGUGGCGCUAGAAGAGUACAUGACGCGCAUGCCCAAGGUUCGUAUCCUGAGGACUAAGAAGAGGGAGGGUCUGAUCAGGACUCGUCUUCUGGGAGCUGCGGCUGCUAAAGGAGAAGUCAUCACCUUCCUGGACUCCCACUGUGAGGCCAAUGUCAACUGGCUGCCUCCACUGCUGGAUCGAAUCGCACAGAACAGGAAGACCAUUGUGUGUCCAAUGAUCGAUGUCAUCGACCACGACAACUUCGGCUACGACACACAGGCAGGGGACGCCAUGAGAGGAGCCUUUGACUGGGAAAUGUACUACAAGCGGAUCCCCAUCCCUCCAGAGCUGCAGAGGGAUGACCCCAGUGAACCCUUUGAGUCUCCUGUUAUGGCAGGAGGACUGUUUGCUGUGGACAGGAAGUGGUUCUGGGAGCUGGGAGGAUACGACACAGGUCUGGAGAUCUGGGGAGGAGAGCAGUACGAGAUCUCCUUCAAGGUGUGGAUGUGCGGUGGUCGGAUGGAGGACAUCCCUUGCUCCAGGGUAGGGCACAUCUACAGGAAGUACGUCCCCUACAAAGUCCCUGGUGGGAUCAGCUUGGCAAAGAACCUGAAACGUGUGGCGGAGGUCUGGAUGGAUGAGUACGCUGAGUACGUCUACCAGCGCCGGCCCGAGUAUCGCCACCUCUCUGCAGGAGACAUGACGGCCCAGAAGGAGCUGAGGAGCCGACUGAACUGCAAAAAUUUUAAGUGGUUCAUGAGCGAGGUGGCCUGGGAUCUGCCCAAACACUACCCACCUGUGGAGCCUCCUGCUGCAGCCUGGGGAUGGAUAAGAAACGUGGGAAGUGGGAUGUGUAUGGAGAUCAAACGGUUCGUGUCAGGGAGUCCAAUCCGCCUGGAGAGCUGCGUGAAACCACGAGGCGAGGUGGGCUGGAGUCAUGGACAGGUGCUGACAUUUGGUUGGAGGGAGGACAUCCGGGUGGGCGACCCAAUGCACACAAGGAAAGUCUGCUUUGACGCCGUCUCCCACAGCAGCCCUGUCACCCUGUAUGACUGUCACGGCAUGAAGGGGAACCAGCUGUGGAGAUACAGAAAGGAUAAGAGUCUCUAUCACCCCGUCAGCAACAGCUGCAUCGACUGUAGCCCGAGUGAGCGGCGAGUCUUCAUGAACACGUGUGACCCAUCCUCUCUGAGUCAGCAGUGGCUGUUUGAGAAAACCAACGCAACCGUACUGGAGCACUUCAACCGGGGCGCCAACUGAGGCUGCUAAAAGAACAGAAGUAGAUAAUGAGCUGCCUCAGCAACAUUAAAUGUGGAUCGGCAGGGACUUUGUGCACUGGCUGAGCUGAAGAGACAGUCGGACCACAUGCAACAACAUCCAGAUUACAAUCAUACAGCACGAGCUUGUGAUGAGGAAAGGGGAUGGGAGCGCCACGGUGAAACCUGAUCGUCCUGCAGAAAACAGAUCCCACAAAGACUGAUUUUUGGACAUCAAGUGUUUCCAAAGAGUUGAUUUUAUUUUGUGAAGAUGCUCCUGUCUUUCAUUGCAAGUUUGAAUCCAUCGAACACUGCUGGACUCAAUAGAUUGUCUAUUACAAUGCCUCUUUCAUCAUGCCUUUUUCAAUGGUUGCCUUAUGCCUUAUACAUGUCCAACUUUGGGAAAUACCAGCCCCUUUUGUGCAAAAAUAUACCAAAAGAGCAUUUGGUAGCAUAUGUGGUCUCUUGUUUUUGUAAGCUGUAACUCUGUGAGAGCUGGAGGAAAAUCUCUGAAAACUUAAGACGUAUUCCUGCACAGAUACGCUGCAAGA